UACACACGUGCUACAAUGGGUAGUACAGAGGGUUGCCAAGCCGUAAGGUGGAGCUAAUCCCUUAAAGCUACUCUCAGUUCGGAUUGUAGGCUGAAACUCGCCUACAUGAAGCUGGAGUUACUAGUAAGCGCAGAUCAGAAUGCUGCGGUGAAUGCGUUCCCGGGUCUUGUACACACCGCCCGUCACACCACGGGAGUUGGAGACGCCCGAAGCCGAUUAUCUAACCU
rnacentral:rRNA from 1 species